AAAGGUUUCCAGGGUAAAGCUGAUCUGCCCUGGGUAAGUCGGGGCCUAAGGCGAGGACGAGAGUCGUAGCCGAUGGACAACAGGUGGAGAUUCCUGUACUAUGAUAUGACAGAACUGUGGGGACACGUGCAGAAAGCGGAAGCCGGGAAUGGGAUCCCGGUGCAAGCGAGGUACCAGCCACAUUGGAAAAACCGUGUGGCAAUGGGAAGACGUGAUGCGGAGCGAAAUAAAGUAGCGAAGUCCGUGAGCUGACGUCAAGAAAAGCCGCUAUUGUUCAUACCAUACCCGUACCGUAAACCGACACAGGUGGAUGAGGAGAGAAUCCUAAGGCCGGCGGAAGAAGCAUUGUCAAGGAACUCGGCAAAAUGACCCCGUAACUUCGGGAGAAGGGGUGCCUGUGAAAACAGGCCGCAGAGAAUAGGCUCAAGCAACUGUUUAGCAAAAACACAGGUCUAUGCGAAACCGAAAGGUGAGGUAUAUGGGCUGACGCCUGCCCGGUGCUGGAAGGUUAAGAGGAGAGGUUAGCGCAAGCGAAGCUUUGAAUUUAAGCCCCAGUAAACGGCGGCCGUAACAAUAACGGUCCUAAGGUAGCGAAAUUCCUUGUCGGGUAAGUUCCGACCCGCACGAAAGGCGUAAUGAUUUGAGCGCUGUCUCGACAAUGCAUCCGGUGAAAUUGAAGUACCAGUGAAGAUGCUGGUUACCUGCGCCAGGACGGAAAGACCCCAUGGAGCUUUACUCCAGUUUGGUACUGGGAUCCGGUACUGCAUGUACAGGAUAGGUGGGAGGCUAUGAAGCGGUAACGCCAGUUGCCGCAGAGCCGCUGUUGGGAUACCACCCUUGCAGUAUUGGGUUUCUAACCAGCCGCCGUGAACCGGCGGUGGGACAAUGCCAGACGGGGAGUUUGACUGGGGCGGUCGCCUCCGAAAGGGUAUCGGAGGCGCCCAAAGGUUCCCUCAGAAUGGACGGAAACCAUUCGAAGAGUGCAAAGGCAGAAGGGAGCUUGACUGCGACACCGACGGGUGGAGCAGGUACGAAAGUAGGGCUUAGUGAUCCGGUGGUAUUAAGUGGGAAUGCCAUCGCUCAACGGAUAAAAGCUACCCUGGGAUAACAGGCUUAUCACUCCCAAGAGUUCACAUCGACGGAGUGGUUUGGCACCUCGAUGUCGGCUCAUCGCAUCCUGGGGCUGUAGUAGGUCCCAAGGGUUGGGCUGUUCGCCCAUUAAAGCGGUACGCGAGCUGGGUUCAGAACGUCGUGAGACAGUUCGGUCCCUAUCCGGCGUGGGCGUAGGAUAUCUGAGAGGAGCUGUCCUUAGUACGAGAGGACCGGGAUGGACGGACCGCUGGUGUACCGGUUAGACUGCCAAGUCUACGGCCGGGUAGCCAAGUCCGGAAGGGAUAAACGCUGAAGGCAUCUAAGCGUGAAGCCCCCCUCGAGAUGAGAUAUCCCAUCCGAAAGGAGUAAACCCCCUUGAAGACGACGAGGUUGAUAGGGCAGGGGUGGAAGCACAGUAAUGUGUGGAGCUGACUGCUACUAAUAGGGUGAGGGCUUGACCUA
rnacentral:rRNA from 1 species